rnacentral:rRNA from 1 species
CUGCGGCGCCCCUAUACAUGCAAGUCGAGCGAACAGAUGAGAAGCUUGCUUCUCUGAUGUUAGCGGCGGACGGGUGAGUAACACGUGGGUAACCUACCUAUAAGACUGGGAUAACUCCGGGAAACCGGGGCUAAUACCGGAUAAUAUUUUGAACCGCAUGGUUCAAUAGUGAAAGACGGUUUCGGCUGUCACUUAUAGAUGGACCCGCGCCGUAUUAGCUAGUUGGUAAGGUAACGGCUUACCAAGGCGACGAUACGUAGCCGACCUGAGAGGGUGAUCGGCCACACUGGAACUGAGACACGGUCCAGACUCCUACGGGAGGCAGCAGUAGGGAAUCUUCCGCAAUGGGCGAAAGCCUGACGGAGCAACGCCGCGUGAGUGAUGAAGGUCUUCGGAUCGUAAAACUCUGUUGUUAGGGAAGAACAAAUUUGUUAGUAACUGAACAAGUCUUGACGGUACCUAACCAGAAAGCCACGGCUAACUACGUGCCAGCAGCCGCGGUAAUACGUAGGUGGCAAGCGUUAUCCGGAAUUAUUGGGCGUAAAGCGCGCGUAGGCGGUUUCUUAAGUCUGAUGUGAAAGCCCACGGCUCAACCGUGGAGGGUCAUUGGAAACUGGGAAACUUGAGUGCAGAAGAGGAGAGUGGAAUUCCAUGUGUAGCGGUGAAAUGCGCAGAGAUAUGGAGGAACACCAGUGGCGAAAGCGGCUCUCUGGUCUGUAACUGACGCUGAUGUGCGAAAGCGUGGGGAUCAAACAGGAUUAGAUACCCUGGUAGUCCACGCCGUAAACGAUGAGUGCUAAGUGUUAGGGGGUUUCCGCCCCUUAGUGCUGCAGCUAACGCAUUAAGCACUCCGCCUGGGGAGUACGACCGCAGGUUGAAACUCAAAGGAAUUUGACGGGACCCCGCACAGCGUGGAGCAUGUGGUUUAAUUCGAGCACGCGAGAUCCUUUACCAAUCUGACAUCUUUGACCGCUCUAGAGAUAGAGUCUUCCCCUUCGGGGGACAAGUGACAGUGGUGCAUGGUUGUCGUCAGCUCGUGUCGUGAGA